rnacentral:rRNA from 1 species
GUGUCAGCAGCCGCGGUAAGACAGAGGGUGCAAACGUUGUUCGGAAUCACUGGGCGUAAAGCGCGUGUAGGCGGCACGGCAUGUCGGAUGUGAAAUCCCAUGGCUCAACCAUGGAAGUGCACCCGAAACUGCCGAGCUCGAGUCUCGGAGAGGAAGGUGGAAUGCUUGGUGUAGAGGUGAAAUUCGUAGAUAUCAAGCGGAACACCGGUGGCGAAGGCGGCCUUCUGGACGAUGACUGACGCUGAGACGCGAAAGCGUGGGGAGCAAACAGGAUUAGAAACCCUAGUAGUCC